rnacentral:rRNA from 1 species
CAGCCGCCGCGGUGACACGUAGGCACCAAGCGUUAUCCGGAUUUAUUGGGCGUAAAGAGCUCGUAGGCGGUUUGGUAAGUCGGGUGUGAAAACUUAGGGCUCAACCCUGAGAGGCCACUCGAUACUGCUAUGACUAGAGUACGGUAGGGGAGCGGGGAAUUCAUGGUGUAGCGGUGAAAUGCGCAGAUAUCAUGAGGAACACCAGCGGCGAAGGCGCCGCUCUGGGCCGUAACUGACGCUGAGGAGCGAAAGCAUGGGUAGCAAACAGGAUUAGAUACCCUGGUAGUCCAUGCCGUAAACGUUGGGCACUAGGUGUGGGUCUCAACCAACGAGAUCCGCGCCGUCGCUAACGCAUUAAGUGCCCCGCCUGGGGAGUACGGUCGCAAGACUAAAACUCAAAGGAAUUGACGGGGGCCCGCACAAGCAGCGGAGCGUGUUGCUUAAUUCGAUGCAACGCGAAGAACCUUACCUGGGUUUGACAUGUACCGAAAAGCUCUAGAGAUAGGGUGUCCUUCGGGGCGGUACACAGGUGGUGCAUGGCC